AUACGUAGGUGACAAGCGUUAUCCGGAUUUACUGGGCGUAAAGGGCGUGUAGGCGGUCUUGCAAGUCAGAAGUGAAAUUCCUGAGCUCAACUCGGGCGCUGCUUCUGAAACUGCGGAGCUUGAGUGCAGGAGAGGUUAUCGGAAUUCCCGGUGUAGCGGUGAAAUGCGUAGAGAUCGGGAGGAACACCAGUGGCGAAGGCGGGUAACUGGACUGCAACUGACGCUGAGGCGCGAAAGUGUGGGGAGCAAACAGGAUUAGAUACCCUGGUAGUCCACACUGUAAACGAUGAAUGCUAGGUGUAGGAGGUAUCGACCCCUUCUGUGCCGCAGUAAACACAGUAAGCAUUCCGCCUGGGGAGUACGGUCGCAAGAUUAAAACUCAAAUGAAUUGACGGGG
rnacentral:rRNA from 1 species